rnacentral:tRNA from 1 species
UUAGCAAAUACUGGGAGUCCCCUAAUACUUAAGUCGAAAUUAAGCUUGAGUAGUUCAAUUAGUAUUC